GGACAGAGGGACAUAUUGUGGGACACACUGGAAUGCCACAGCCUCCACAAAGAGACCAGACUCUGAGUUCUCACCAUCCUCAUAAAUCUAAUAACAAAAGCAAUGUCCUGACUCUCACAGCCCAUGAUGGAGGACUGAGGGCACAGAGCUGCACCACCUGCUUCCACAUUCCAUCCAAAAUGACCCAGAAAAAUUUUAAAAUAUGUAAAACCCUGAAUCAGGCAUAGAAGCUAAGGAAGGAAACCAUACAAAUGCCAAAAACUUCAAAGAAUUUCUUUGAAAUGUUUUGCAAUUGGGAUCAGAUUAAAGAAGGGCAUGCAGGACUAACCCCACAACCUGCACAGGAGCAGCCUAACACAGAGACAGGAUGCCGGCAGCAGGGCCCACCUGAUGCCCGGGGUUCUUCAGAAGCCGAAGGGGGCCAGGUUGGCAAGCAGUGGCAAGGAUUUCCAGAAGAAACCCAGGCUUGGCAGCAGUGCUUGCAUUUUUGGCUCCUCUAGGCCCAGAGCUGGGCCCAGCAAGACACAUUUAUUGGUGACAGCAGCCAUCCUAGGUGAUGCCGUGGACUCCUGACCAGAGACCAAAGCCUGACAACUUGCAGAACCCAGGCAAAGUUUGAUCCCUUGUGCAGCAGAACUUGGACAGGGGGCCACGCCUGCACUACCAGUACUUAGGAUCUGAGGAAGGGGGACCAGAAGUUCAUGUUGUAGUCUUCCACAGCUACACCUACAGAGCUAUUAAAGAAUGAUCCAAUUUGCACCUCCUGCCUACAAGCCAACGU